rnacentral:lncRNA from 1 species
GAACGGUAACCGAUAAUGUUAAAACAUGUUUGUUUAAGUCCAACCGUAAUCAGAUACCACACUACUAGAAACUGAUAUCAUCCUAAAUCAUUAUUGUUGCAAUUUACGUUAGUGGAGAAUCUUUAGGGCUUGUUCGGUUAUUUUCAAUCCAUAUGGAUUGGAGAGGAUCGAUACGGAUUGGAGGGGAUUUUGACUUACCAGGGAUUUAAACCCCUCAAUCCCCUCAAUCCAUAUGGAUUGGGGUAGAACCGAACAAGCCCUUAGCGGGCAGGGCUAGCAACUCACAAUGUGAAGAGUGGGCGUAGCCGAACACCUCAAGACUGAUUUCAUGGCUGUAUUACAUGCCAAGUGCUUUUCCGACGCAAUUUGACAAUUUUUUUUGUAGAACCUGUUUCUUCGGUUUUGUGGAAGAGGCAUCUGUCCAAUUACGGGUCGCACUCUGGGAAAGAAUUUCAGUUUUGCUUGUAUGAUCAGGAACACAUUUUUUUUCACAGGUACGGUACGGUGAUGGAAAAUUGAAAUUUG